rnacentral:rRNA from 1 species
ACGAACGCUGCGGCGUGCUUAACACAUGCAAGUCGAACGGGUGAAGCGCUUCCUUUGUGGUGGGUGUGGAUGAGUGGCGAACGGGUGAGUAACACGUGAGUAACCUGCCCCCUUCUUCUGGAUAACCGCAUGAAAGUGUGGCUAAUACGGGAUAUUCUGUGCCUGCUGCAUGGUGGGUGUGGGAAAGAUUGCGCCUUUGGGUGUUUUUGGUGGGGGAUGGGCUCGCGGCCUAUCAGCUUGUUGGUGGGGUGAUGGCCUACCAAGGGUGACGGGUAGCCGGCCUGAGAGGGUGGACGGUCACACUGGGACUGAGACACGGCCCAGACUCCUACGGGAGGCAGCAGUGGGGAAUAUUGCACAAUGGGCGCAAGCCUGAUGCAGCGACGCCGCGUAGGGAUGGAGGCCUUCGGGUUGUGAACCUCUUUCGCCAGUAAGCAGGCCUGUCCCUGUGUGGGU